rnacentral:lncRNA from 1 species
AGACUACUGAGGUUACUGACCUGAUGCAAUGAGUUAGGAGGCUGUAAAGUAUCCAGCACUGAUCCUUGAAGGACUCCUUGCGGGCAUCUCUCUUCAGGAAAGGUCACUGAGAUGGUCCUUGCACUGAUUUUGGACUGCAGAGUCACUUGCACUUCCAUUGCUAUGAUUCCAGGCACCAAAUCGGCACAGCUGCAUGACACCAGGGUGAGCUGUACAGCCACUGAAGAACCAUGUUUUGGAAGGAGAAAAGUAAAAUCUUGAUUGCUUACAGUCCCUGAAAUGGAGGUGUGUUUGCCUGAGUAUUGAUGCAUAUUGUCUGAUUAAGGCCAUUUAAGCUGCUUUGUGUUUUUAUUGCUAUAACAUGUUUUUUUUAACCUAUGUACUAGCAUGUUGGUUGCUGUUUCCAAGGCCAUUCUGCCUGAUGCAGAUAUGGCAUUUUGUUAGUGGCUGAAAUUUCUUUUUAGUAUUUGGAGUUUGGAAGAGAGUAAAAGAGGAUGUAACUUGGUCUUCUAUCACUAUCACUAUCACUUGCUG